AGUGGCGGACGGGUGAGUAACGCGUGGGUAACCUGCCCUAUACAGGGGGAUAACAACCAGAAAUGAUUGCUAAUACCGCAUAAGCGCACAGGACCGCAUGGUCCGGUGUGAAAAACUCCGGUGGUAUAGGAUGGACCCGCGUUGGAUUAGCUUGUUGGUGGGGUAACGGCCCACCAAGGCGACGAUCCAUAGCCGGCCUGAGAGGGUGAACGGCCACAUUGGGACUGAGACACGGCCCAGACUCCUACGGGAGGCAGCAGUGGGGAAUAUUGCACAAUGGGGGAAACCCUGAUGCAGCGACGCCGCGUGAGUGAAGAAGUAUUUCGGUAUGUAAAGCUCUAUCAGCAGGGAAGAAAAUGACGGUACCUGACUAAGAAGCCCCGGCUAACUACGUGCCAGCAGCCGCGGUAAUACGUAGGGGGCAAGCGUUAUCCGGAUUUACUGGGUGUAAAGGGAGCGUAGACGGCUUUGCAAGUCUGACGUGAAACUCCGGGGCUCAACUCCGGAACUGCGUUGGAAACUGUAAGGCUUGAGUGCCGGAGAGGUAAGCGGAAUUCCUAGUGUAGCGGUGAAAUGCGUAGAUAUUAGGAGGAACACCAGUGGCGAAGGCGGCUUACUGGACGAUUACUGACGCUGAGGCUCGAAAGCGUGGGGAGCA
rnacentral:rRNA from 1 species